UUCCGGGGACGACGCUCCGGCCCCCCCCUCGGAACCGGAAGUUGGGCCUGGGAGCCUUGACGUUAGGAACGAAGUCGAACCUGGAUCUGGAGCCGGGUGAGACCAAGUUGGGGAUGCACUCAUAAUGAACGUCAACCAGUCAGCUCCACCUGUGCUGCCAUUUGGGCAGCCCCAGCCUGUCUACACAGGGUAUCAUCAAUCCAGCUAUGGUGGGCAACCAGGGUCCACAGCCCCACCAACUCCCUAUGGCGCCUACAAUGGCCCAGUACCAGGCUAUCAGCAAACACCUCUCCCAGGUGUGUCGAGAGCCCCACCUUCUUCAGAGGCACCUCCAGCCUCAACAGCACAGGCCCCUUGUGGCCAGGUUGCAUAUGGCCAGUUUGGCCAAGCAGAUGUACAGAAUGGGCCAAGCUCCACUGUUCAGAUGCAGAGGUAUGUACUUGGGUCAACCUAAAAUUGGUCUGAUGAAGCUAGAAGAAUCAGGAAUGGAUGAGGGCCUGUUUCCUCUUCUUUUUUCUUUGCCUUUCCCUUAGAUCCUCUUUUCUCUUUCCUCCACUUUUUUAAUUUUGUUUGCAUUUUUCCAGGUUACAGGUGCUGCUGUUGUCCACUCUGUAGAUCAUUAACCCAUUAAGUUCUUUUGUGUAUUCUUUCUUUUUCUGUAAACUUGAGUUUUUUCUUGACUAGACAUAUAUCUUCAAUAAUAGUUGCAAUCCUACCGAAUCUAUCCUCAGGGGGAAACAGGAAAAAGGGAUCUCAGAUUUAUGUCUCUUCUGACUUCUUCCUUUCCUCUCAAUCAGCGGUUAGUAGGACUUCUUGGUUAAGUUUGGGUGUGACCAGUUCUGAAAGGAAAGAUACUCAAAGAAAAACCACAUAAAUGAUAAAAACUUUUGUGGUUCAUGAUCCAAUAAACACCUGUCUUUGUAUGGAAGUCCAUUAAAGGAAGUCAGUCAUCUCUGUUGGACGGUUGUUUAUUUCUUGGUAAACAAAGAAUAAAGUAUAACUGUGAGUA